GGUUGGAGUUAUGCUGGAGUGACAGGGCUUUGGGUUAUACAUUGGGAGGCCAGAGAGCAGAAGGUGAUGAGUGCAUGGGGAUACUAUGUGUGUGUGUGUCAGAACUGUCUAGUCCGACGGGAAGAUCGAGGCUUCACCGCUGUCGUGGGUGACUUCGGGCUGGCCGAAAAGAUUCCUGUGUAUAGGUGAGAUGAAUGUCCCUGUUCCCCCAAAUCUCCCAGAGUGCCCCUAUCUGAUGUCCCCAGAGCCCCAGCGAUGUUUCCCUUGGGGAACGGAGGGAGUUCACCUCAUCCCCUUUUGCCUGGCGGGGAUGCCUGAAUAGGAUGUUUCUGACCACCCUGCCCCUGCCCCUGCAGGGAGGGGGCAAGGAAGGAGCCAUUGGCUGUGGUGGGCUCCCCAUACUGGAUGGCUCCAGAGGUGUUACGGGGUGAGCUGUAUGAUGAGAAGGCUGAUGUCUUUGCCUUCGGGAUUGUCCUCUGUGAGCUCAUCGCCCGAGUACCUGCAGACCCUGACUACCUACCACGCACUGAGGACUUUGGCCUGGAUGUGCCUGCUUUCCGAACUCUGGUGGGGGAUGACUGCCCACUGCCUUUCUUGCU
rnacentral:sRNA from 1 species